UUUUUUCUCUUUGUUCUUGUUUUGCUGGGUUCUGUGGCUUGAGUUUUGGGUUUAGAGGAGGAAAUCUCCAAGUUUGAAUCUCGAUUAGAGGCUGCACUCGCAAAAGGGAAGCUGAUAUGUUUUUGAAGGCCCAGCCAAUGGGUGAAAAUGGCACUGAUGGGCUUGGGUAGGCCCAUCAGUUAAAAAAUUCACUUUCCUCCCUUCUCCAUUUAUAUAUUUGACAUGUAUAUAUAUUGUACAUGUACUGAAUAUGUGAAUAAUGGAACCCUUGUGCAUGCUAGAA